rnacentral:rRNA from 1 species
GGACUACAAGGGUAUCUAAUCCCGUUUGCUCCCCUAGCUUUCGCGCCUCAGCGUCAGAAGAGGUCCAGCACGCCGCUUUCGCCACCGGAGUUCCUGUAGAUAUCAACGCAUUUCACCGCUCCACCUACAGUUCCGCAUGCCCCUACCUCCCUCGAGGCCGUCAGUAUCUGAGGCCGUUCCACGGUUGAGCCGUGGGAUUUCACCCCAGACUUGAUAGCCCGCCUACGCGCCCUUUAAGCCCAGUGAUUCCGAACAACGUUCGCACGGUUCGUCUUACCGCGGCUGCUGGCAC